UCCUAGCCCCGAUAGCAAUGGAAAUCCUUGCGGAAAAAAAAGUAUAUUUUUGUUAGUGUUUUUUUGCGACCAAAGGAAGCACAAAAAACACUUAGAAAAAUAACUUUUUUGACGAAAGAUUGGAAUGGAUAGCGGGAUUAGCU
rnacentral:sRNA from 1 species